CUGGACAGCAGCGGUACCACACGUGUGUCUGUGCUGGCUGAGAUGGAUCUGCUUUGUCUGUCACCAGCAGCAUCAACUACAUAUUUGGCUCGAUGGUCUUUUCUCUGAGCACUGGAAUUAUCCUCAACAACCAGCUGCAUGACUUCUGUGGAAGAGCUGAUAGCAUCUCUCCUGGUCAUCAUGAACCACCUUUGGUUUGGAAAGAGCCUUAAAGAGGCAGUUGAUACUCCAGUUGUUUAUGUUGACUCUCAAAAUGAAGCAAAGUUUGAACUCAGGGGUGAAAAGGUAACAUAUUCACUAUA